rnacentral:piRNA from 1 species
UUGAUAGCCGGCUAGUUCAAC